rnacentral:rRNA from 1 species
GACGAACGCUGGCGGCGUGCUUAACACAUGCAAGUCGAACGGAAAGGCCCUGCUUUUGUGGGGUGCUCGAGUGGCGAACGGGUGAGUAACACGUGAGUAACCUGCCCUUGACUUUGGGGUAACUUCAGGAAACUGGGGCUAAUACCGGAUAGGAGCUCCUGCUGCAUGGUGGGGGUUGGAAAGUUUCGGCGGUUGGGGAUGGACUCGCGGCUUAUCAGCUUGUUGGUGGGGUAGUGGCUUACCAAGGCUUUGACGGGUAGCCGGCCUGAGAGGGUGACCGGCCACAUUGGGACUGAGAUACGGCCCAGACUCCUACGGGAGGCAGCAGUGGGGAAUAUUGCGCAAUGGGCGGAAGCCUGAUGCAGCAACGCCGCGUGCGGGAUGACGGCCUUCGGGUUGUAAACCGCUUUCGCCUGUGACGAAGCGUGAGUGACGGUAAUGGGUAAAGAAGCACCGGCUAACUACGUG